rnacentral:rRNA from 1 species
CCUACGGGAGGCAGCAGUGGGGAAUUUUGGACAAUGGGCGAAAGCCUGAUCCAGCAAUGCCGCGUGUGGGAAGAAGGCCUUCGGGUUGUAAACCACUUUUGUACGGAACGAAACGGUUCGCUUUAAUACAGUGGGCUAAUGACGGUACCGUAAGAAUAAGCACCGGCUAACUACGUGCCAGCAGCCGCGGCAAUACGUAGGGUGCGAGCGUUAAUCGGAAUUACUGGGCGUAAAGCGUGCGCAGGCGGUUAUAUAAGACAGUUGUGAAAUCCCCGGGCUCAACCUGGGAAUUGCAUCUGUGACUGUAUAGCUAGAGUACGGUAGGGGGGGAUGGAAUUCCGCGUGUAGCAGUGAAAUGCGUAGAUAUGCGGAGGAACACCGAUGGCGAAGGCAAUCCCCUGGACCUGUACUGACGCUCAUGCACGAAAGCGUGGGGAGCAAACAGGAUUAGAUACCCUGGUAGUCCACGCCCUAAACGAUGUCAACUGGUUGUUGGGUGCAUUAGUACUCAGUAACGAAACUAACGCGUGAAGUUGACCGCCUGGGGAGUACGGCCGCAAGGUUGAAACUCAAAUGAAUUGACGGCUGAGAGNGCGAGACGACGACGAGGGAGAGG